GCUGGAAUCUCUCGGGGUUACAGCCUUGCUGAAUUAUUCACCCUUGUCUUUUGCGUACUUCUUGUUUCCUUGGUGGGUUCGCCCACCACUAGGACAAACAUAAACCUUUUGUAAUUGCAAUCAGCGUCAGUAACAAAUUAAUAAUUACAACUUUCAACAACGGAUCUCUUGGUUCUGGCAUCGAUGAAGAACGCAGCGAAAUGCGAUAAGUAGUGUGAAUUGCAGAAUUCAGUGAAUCAUCGAAUCUUUGAACGCACAUUGCGCCCUUUGGUAUUCCAAAGGGCAUGCCUGUUCGAGCGUCAUUUGUACCCUCAAGCUUUGCUUGGUGUUGGGCGUCUUGUCUCUAGCUUUGCUGGAGACUCGCCUUAAAGUAAUUGGCAGCCGGCCUACUGGUUUCGGAGCGCAGCACAAGUCGCACUCUCUAUCAGCAAAGGUCUAGCAUCCAUUAAGCCUUUUUUCAACUUUUGACCUCGGAUCAGGUAGGGAUACCCGCUGAACUUAAGCAU
rnacentral:rRNA from 1 species